UACGAAGGGGGCUAGCGUUGCUCGGAAUCACUGGGCGUAAAGGGUGCGUAGGCGGGUCUUUAAGUCAGGGGUGAAAUCCUGGAGCUCAACUCCAGAACUGCCUUUGAUACUGAAGAUCUUGAGUUCGGGAGAGGUGAGUGGAACUGCGAGUGUAGAGGUGAAAUUCGUAGAUAUUCGCAAGAACACCAGUGGCGAAGGCGGCUUCCUGGACCGGUUCUGACACUGAGGAGCGAAAGCGUGGGGAGCGAUCCGG
rnacentral:rRNA from 1 species